AACGAACGCUGGCGGCAUGCCUAACACAUGCAAGUCGAACGAGAACUUCGGGUCUAGUGGCGCAGGGGUGCGUAACGCGGGGGAACCUGCCCUUAGGUUCGGAAUAACUCCCCGAAAGGGGUGCUAAUACCGGAUAAUGUCUUCGGACCACAGAUUUGUAGACUUUGGAUGGGCCCGCGUUGGAUUAGCUAGUUGGUAGGGUAAAAGCCUACCAAGGCGACGAUACAUAGCUGGUCUGAGAGGAUGAUCAGCCACACUGGGACUGAGACACGGCCCAGAAUCCUACGGGAGGCAGCAGUGGGUAAUAUUGCACAAUGGGCGAAAGCCUGAUCCAGCAAUGCCGCGUGAGUGAUGAAGUCCUGAGGGUUGUAAAGCUCUUUUACCCGGGAUGAUAAUGACAGUACCGGGAGAAUAAGCACCGGCUAACUCCGUG
rnacentral:rRNA from 1 species